rfam:Gossypium raimondii Chr02_contig_1151, whole genome shotgun sequence.
AUUUCGUGAUGUAGGCACUUUCUUAGUAGUGACUUAAAAUGUUCCCAUGCAUCAUAUAAAGUUUCUCCUUUGAAUUGCUUAAAGUUGGCAACGUCGCACCUAAAUU